rnacentral:rRNA from 1 species
GACGAACGCUGGCGACGUGCUUAACACAUGCAAGUCGAACGGAAAGGCCCUGCUUUUGUGGGGUGCUCGAGUGGCGAACGGGUGAGUAACACGUGAGUAACCUGCCCUUGACUUUGGGAUAACUUCAGGAAACUGGGGCUAAUACCGGAUAGGAGCUCCUGCUGCACGGUGGGGGUUGGAAAGUUUCGGCGGUUGGGGAUGGACUCGCGGCUUAUCAGCUUGUUGGUGGGGUAGUGGCUUACCAAGGCUUUGACGGGUAGCCGGCCUGAGAGGGUGACCGGCCACAUUGGGACUGAGAUACGGCCCAGACUCCUACGGGAGGCAGCAGUGGGGAAUAUUGCACAAUGGGCGGAAGCCUGAUGCAGCAACGCCGCGUGCGGGAUGACGGCCUUCGGGUUGUAAACCGCUUUCGCCUGUGACGAAGCGUGAGUGACGGUAAUGGGUAAAGAAGCACCGGCUAACUACGUG